AUGGUUAAGUUAGAAAGGGCGCACGGUGGAUGCCUUGGCACUAGGAGCCGAUGAAGGACGGGACGAACACCGAUAUGCUUCGGGGAGCUGUAAGCAAGCUUUGAUCCGGAGAUUUCCGAAUGGGGAAACCCACUGCUCGUAAUGGAGUAGUAUCCAUACUUGAAUACAUAGAGUAUGAGAAGGCAUACCCGGGGAACUGAAACAUCUAAGUACCCGGAGGAAGAGAAAGCAAAUGCGAUUCCCUGAGUAGCGGCGAGCGAAACGGGAACAGCCCAAACCAAGAGGCUUGCCUCUUGGGGUUGUAGGACACUCUAUACGGAGUUACAAAGGAACGAUAUAAGCGAAGAGGUCUGGAAAGGCCCGCCAAAGAAGGUAACAGCCCUGUAACUGAAAUGUUGUUCUCUCCAGAGUGGAUCCUGAGUACGGCGGAACACGUGAAAUUCCGUCGGAAUCCGGGAGGACCAUCUCCCAAGGCUAAAUACUCCCUAGUGACCGAUAGUGAACCAGUACCGUGAGGGAAAGGUGAAAAGCACCCCGGAAGGGGAGUGAAAUAGAUCCUGAAACCGUGUGCCUACAAGUAGUCAGAGCCCGUUAACGGGUGAUGGCGUGCCUUUUGUAGAAUGAACCGGCGAGUUACGAUCCCGUGCAAGGUUAAGCAGAAGAUGCGGAGCCGCAGCGAAAGCGAGUCUGAAUAGGGCGCAUGAGUACGUGGUCGUAGACCCGAAACCAGGUGAUCUACCCAUGUCCAGGGUGAAGUUCAGGUAACACUGAAUGGAGGCCCGAACCCACGCACGUUGAAAAGUGCGGGGAUGAGGUGUGGGUAGGGGUGAAAUGCCAAUCGAACCUGGAGAUAGCUGGUUCUCUCCGAAAUAGCUUUAGGGCUAGCCUCAAGGUAAGAGUCUCGGAGGUAGAGCACUGAUUGGACUAGGGGCCCCUACCGGGUUACCGAAUUCAGUCAAACUCCGAAUGCCGAUGACUUAUCCUUGGGAGUCAGACUGCGAGUGAUAAGAUCCGUAGUCGAAAGGGAAACAGCCCAGACCGCCAGCUAAGGUCCCAAAGUAUACGUUAAGUGGAAAAGGAUGUGGAGUUGCUUAGACAACCAGGAUGUUGGCUUAGAAGCAGCCACCAUUUAAAGAGUGCGUAAUAGCUCACUGGUCGAGUGACUCUGCGCCGAAAAUGUACCGGGGCUAAACGUAUCACCGAAGCUGCGGACUGUUCUUACGAACAGUGGUAGGAGAGCGUUCUAAGUGCAGUGAAGUCAGACCGGAAGGACUGGUGGAGCGCUUAGAAGUGAGAAUGCCGGUAUGAGUAGCGAAAGACGGGUGAGAAUCCCGUCCACCGAAUGCCUAAGGUUUCCUGAGGAAGGCUCGUCCGCUCAGGGUUAGUCGGGACCUAAGCCGAGGCCGAAAGGCGUAGGCGAUGGACAACAGGUUGAUAUUCCUGUACCACCUCCUCACCAUUUGAGCAAUGGGGGGACGCAGGAGGAUAGGGUAAGCGCGGUAUUGGAUAUCCGCGUCCAAGCAGUUAGGCUGGGAAAUAGGCAAAUCCGUUUCCCGUGAAGGCUGAGCUGUGAUGGCGAGCGAAAUUUAGUAGCGAAGUUCCUGAUUCCACACUGCCAAGAAAAGCCUCUAGCGAGGUGAGAGGUGCCCGUACCGCAAACCGACACAGGUAGGCGAGGAGAGAAUCCUAAGGUGAUCGAGAGAACUCUCGUUAAGGAACUCGGCAAAAUGACCCCGUAACUUCGGGAGAAGGGGUGCUUCUUAGGGUGUUAAAGCCCCGAGAAGCCGCAGUGAAUAGGCCCAGGCGACUGUUUAGCAAAAACACAGGUCUCUGCGAAGCCGUAAGGCGAAGUAUAGGGGCUGACGCCUGCCCGGUGCUGGAAGGUUAAGAGGAGCGCUUAGCGUAAGCGAAGGUGCGAAUUGAAGCCCCAGUAAACGGCGGCCGUAACUAUAACGGUCCUAAGGUAGCGAAAUUCCUUGUCGGGUAAGUUCCGACCCGCACGAAAGGCGCAACGAUCUGGGCACUGUCUCAACGAGAGACUCGGUGAAAUUAUAGUACCUGUGAAGAUGCAGGUUACCCGCGACAGGACGGAAAGACCCCGUGGAGCUUUACUGCAGCCUGAUAUUGAAUGUUGGUACAGCUUGUACAGGAUAGGUAGGAGCCUUGGAAACCGGAGCGCUAGCUUCGGUGGAGGCAUCGGUGGGAUACUACCCUGGCUGUAUUGACCUUCUAACCCGCUGCCCUUAUCGGGCAGGGAGACAGUGUCAGGUGGGCAGUUUGACUGGGGCGGUCGCCUCCUAAAAUGUAACGGAGGCGCCCAAAGGUUCCCUCAGAAUGGUUGGAAAUCAUUCGCAGAGUGUAAAGGCACAAGGGAGCUUGACUGCGAGACCUACAAGUCGAGCAGGGACGAAAGUCGGGCUUAGUGAUCCGGUGGUUCCGCAUGGAAGGGCCAUCGCUCAACGGAUAAAAGCUACCCCGGGGAUAACAGGCUUAUCUCCCCCAAGAG
rnacentral:rRNA from 1 species